AACACAUGCAAGUCGAACGGCAGCACGGACUUCGGUCUGGUGGCGAGUGGCGAACGGGUGAGUAAUGUAUCGGAACGUGCCCAGUAGCGGGGGAUAACUACGCGAAAGCGUAGCUAAUACCGCAUACGCCCUACGGGGGAAAGCAGGGGAUCGCAAGACCUUGCACUAUUGGAGCGGCCGAUAUCGGAUUAGCUAGUUGGUGGGGUAACGGCUCACCAAGGCGACGAUCCGUAGCUGGUUUGAGAGGACGACCAGCCACACUGGGACUGAGACACGGCCCAGACUCCUACGGGAGGCAGCAGUGGGGAAUAUUGCACAAUGGGCGCAAGCCUGAUGCAGCGACGCCGCGUGGGGGAUGACGGCCUUCGGGUUGUAAACUCCUUUCGCUAGGGACGAAGCUUUUUGUGACGGUACCUAGAUAAGAAGCACCGGCUAACCACGUGCCAGCCGCCGCGGUAAUAC
rnacentral:rRNA from 2 species